GGUAAAGAAUCCAUCUGCAAUGCUGGAGACCCUGGUUCAAUUCUUGGGUCAGGAAGAUCCCCUGGAGAAGGGAUAGGCUAGCCACUCCAGUAUUCUUGGGCUUCCCUGGUGGCUCAGAUGGUAAAGAAUCAGCCUGCAAUGCAGGAGAUCUGGGUUCAGUCCCUGGGUUGGGAAGAUCCCCUGGAGGAGAGCAUAGCAACCCACUCCAGUAUUCUUGCCUGGAGAAUCCCCAUGGACAGAGGAGCCUGGCGGGCUACAGUCCAUAGGGUCACAAAGAGAUAAGACUGAGCAACCAAGCACAGCACAGCAUAUACACACACACACACACACACACACACACACACACACACACAUACACACACACACACACACACACACACACACACACACACAUGAAUAAACAUGUGAAGAGAUGCCCAACAUCAUUAGGCAUUAGAGAAAUUCUAACUAAAACCACAAGCUUCCCUAGUGGCUUCAGUGGUAAAGAAUCUGCCUGCCAAUGUAAGAGAUGUGAGUUCAAUCCCUGGGUCAGGAAGAUCCCCUGAAGAAGGAAACGGCAACCCAUUCCAGUAUUCUUGCCUGGAAAAUCCCAUGGACAGAGGAGCCUGGUGGGCUACAGUCCAUUGGGUCACAAAAGAGUCAGACAUGACUUAGUGACUAAACAACAGCAACUAAAACCACAAUGAAAUACCACUUUAUAUGUACUAAAAUGGCUAUGUUGGCACAGAUAGGGAAAAUCAGGAACUUUCCUACAUUUCUGGUGUGACUGUAUUAAAAUGACAUAGCCAUUUUGGAAAAGUUUGGCAGUUUCUUAAAAAGUUGAUCAUAAAUUUACCAGAGGACCCAGUACUGCCACUUCUAUAAUCUAACCAAAAGAUAUAUAACAGGUGUUCAUACAAACACUUGCACUUGAAUAUUAAUAAUAGCAUUAUUCAUACAAGACAGAAAAGUAGAAACAAUCUAAAUAUCCAUCAACUUACAAAUAGACAAAAUAUGGUAUAUUCAGCAAUAAAAAAGAACAAAUGCUACAGUAUAGAUGAACUUCAAAAAUAUGCUAAGUGAAAGAAGUGAGAUGCAAUACAUCUAGUAUUAUAUUUGAAUAUUGCAUUUAUAUGAAAUGUCCACAAAAGUAACAUCUAUAAAGCUCUGUAGAUCAGUGGUUGUCUGGAAGAUCCCCUGGAGAAGGAAAUGGCAACCUACUCCAGUAUUCUUGCCUAGAAAAUUCCAUAGACAGAGGAAUCCAUGUGGACACAAAUAGGAUACAACUGAGCUACUAAGAAUGGGAAUCAUCACCGUUAAUUAGUAAAAGGAAUCUUAUUGGGGAGAUAAAAAUGUUACAGAACUUGACUGUGGUGAUGGUUGCACAGCUAGGUAAGUUUAAUGAAGGUCAUUGAAGUGAUCCUCAAUUCCAUUCCUGUUUAAGCAUCUGGGUUCUCUGCCAUAACAUCUAUUGCCACCCAUAUCUAGGAUGAAGUGUUGUCUUGGAGCCUGUUGUACAUUUAAAAAUAAACUUUUUUUAAAAGGUCAUUGAACUGUACAAUUUAAAUAUGGAACCUAAAUUAUAUCUCAAUAAAGUUGUUUCUUUUUCA
ensembl:lncRNA